AGAGGUAUAUAUCGAGCUGGCGUCGAUCCCCUUCUCACACGCGGUGGAGAUGAGCGGACCCGAUGGAUCUGGGGCGUGGAUCACGGGAUCACGGUUGCUGGGAAGCUUCACAGAUCCCGGGAUUCGCUGCUGUUCUAUCGCAGAAGCAGGGGAUGCGGGAUGCUCCAACACGUGAGAUCUGGACGUGGGAGAAUCACUCGCGGGAGAAGCGGAAUCUGGGAGGCUCGUGGAUGCUGGGUGGACUGGAUCGGAAGGAAUGAGCGUGGAUCCAGAAGAAUCGGAUGAGGAGCAGAUCCUUGGACGAGCGAUGGGAUUCUGAUUGCUGUGAAUCCAGAAGAGGUUGACGGAUGUUGAUCACGGAUGCUGGAAUCACGGAUCGAAAGCUGGAUCUUUGCUGGGAUGAGGUGCGGACGAGGCGUGCGCUCGUGAGGAACUCGGACGUGGACGCUGCGAUGAAGUCGGAUGGAGCUUGAGAUGGAGCUGGGACGCGUUGUGAACGUGGAAGCUUGGGAGAUCUGAUCGCAGAAGGCUGAGAUGUAGAUGAGAUGCUAAUCCGGAAGCAGUGGACGCUCGCAAACGGAAUGCGGAGACGGAGCCGGCUCGCGGACGGUUGGUCGCAGGAGGAUCGGACUGCUGGCGCUUGGAUGGAGUUGCUCGCGAACGGCUAUCUGGCAGACAUCCGGAUGCGC
rnacentral:lncRNA from 1 species